rnacentral:rRNA from 1 species
AGUGAACGCUGGCGGUAGGCCUAACACAUGCAAGUCGAACGGCAGCACAGUAAGAGCUUGCUCUUACGGGUGGCGAGUGGCGGACGGGUGAGGAAUACAUCGGAAUCUACUUUUUCGUGGGGGAUAACGGAGGGAAACUUACGCUAAUACCGCAUACGACCUACGGGUGCAAGCAGGGGAUCUUCGGACCUUGCGCGAUUGAAUGAGCCGAUGUCGGAUUAGCUAGUUGGCGGGGUAAAGGCCCACCAAGGCGACGAUCCGUAGCUGGUCUGAGAGAAUGAUCAGCCACACUGGAACUGAGACACGGUCCAGACUCCUACGGGAGGCAGCAGUGGGGAAUAUUGGACAAUGGGCGCAAGCCUGAUCCAGCCAUACCGCGUGGGUGAAGAAGGCAUUCGGGUUGUAAAGCCCUUUUGUUGGGAAAGAUAAGCAGCAGGUUAAUACCCCGCUGUUCUGACGGUACCCAAAGAAUAAGCACCGGCUAACUUCGUG